rnacentral:rRNA from 1 species
UCGUACGACGAGUUUGAUCCUGGCUCAGAACGAACGCUGGCGGCAGGCCUAACACAUGCAAGUCGAGCGCCCCGCAAGGGGAGCGGCGGACGGGUUAGUAACGCGUGGGAAUGUACCCUUUUCUACGGAAUAGCCUCGGGAAACUGAGAUUAAUACCGUAUACGCCCGGUAACGGGGAAAGAUUUAUCGGAGAAGGAUCAGCCCGCGUAAGAUUAGAUAGUUGGUGGGGUAAUGGCCUACCAAGUCUACGAUCUUUAGCUGGUUUGAGAGGAUGAUCAGCAACACUGGGACUGAGACACGGCCCAGACUCCUACGGGAGGCAGCAGUGGGGAAUCUUAGACAAUGGGCGCAAGCCUGAUCUAGCCAUGCCGCGUGAGUGAAGAAGGCCUUAGGGUCGUAAAGCUCUUUCAGUGGGGAAGAUAAUGACGGUACCCACAGAAGAAACCCCGGCUAACUCCGUG